rnacentral:sRNA from 1 species
CGGUGAAUCCAGAUGUAAAUUGAUUUUGACUGAUAUGUUAAGUGUGCAAUGGGAAUGUUGCUGAUUUUGCUUAAAAUCACCUCUUUCAUCCCUGACGAUAUGGGAGUCGAUGGAAGAAUCCUUGACUCUGUAUCUUGAGGACCUUCUGACUCAAACUGUGUCUCAAACCACCUUCGCUGGCACUUCUGACAGAGUGUUCUGAAAAACAUGAGGGGAGCUGGAAAGCCUUCGUUUGAGCAUGACUUACCUCCUGGAUCUGACAAAUUGAGGGAAAUCCUGGAGGGACCUUUCGCCCCUGAACGGCCUGAAAUGGAGCUUUCAUCCAGACUAAGGGGAUGGGGGCAACGUCAGGAUUUAGUUCAGUGAUCUUUUCCUAUGAGUGGCUGAGGCCCCAGAAGAAGGGACGCGGAUAGAACUGGCCGUGAGAGACCGCCAUCAGAUGCUUACUUUCUUUUGGUUUAUUGCGUGUUUCAUGGGACUCCGAGAGUCGGUAAGGAUCGGUAUUUUCGCGGCGCGGGCAGACCCAAGAGAGGCAUCGAAACCAACGCCUCCACUUGGAGCUUCAGAGACGUUGGCUAUGGGAGCAUAUUUUCAAUGUCUUGGUUGCUCCGUUAAUAACAAAGCCUAUGUAUUAUUUGAGG